AGGAAGGCUCAGGAGGAGGGAAGAUCCCGGUUGUGGUGCAAGAGAGCUGGUGGACACUAGCCUGCAGCUGCCCCCAACACAAGGGAGAGAGCCUGUGAAUGGAAGAGAGGGGCAGAGGGAGUGAGAGAGAGAAUCUUAAGCAGGCUCCACACUCAACACAGAGCCUGAUGCGGAGCUCGAUCCCAUGACUGUGAGAUCAUGACCUGAGAUGAAAUCAAGAGUUGGAUGCUUAACCCGCUGAGCCACCCAGGUGCCCCUAAAUUCUAAAUUCUUGACUCCUUUUUAAGAGUUAUUUAUCUAGCUAAUGAUCUAGUUUUUAAGAAAAGAAUCUUUGUUUUCAUUGGGCAAACAUGUAUUUAUGCUUUUGGAUUUAUUAAUUCUGCACUUCUUUCUUUGUUACUUCACUUUUUUGUCUUUUGCUUCUUGAGUUGCAUGCUCAAUGGAUCCAUUUCAUUAAACUUUUCCCCUAA